GCAGGGUUUUACACGACACACAAAUGUGUGUCCAGUACGCACAAAUGUAGAGAAUGGAUGCAGAAAAAACAUUCACCGCUAUGACUCGGUAAGA